ACGAGUUUGAUCAUGGCUCAGAUUGAACGCUGGCGGCAUGCUUUACACAUGCAAGUCGAACGGUAACAGGCCUUCGGGUGCUGACGAGUGGCGAACGGGUGAGUAAUGCAUCGGAACGUGCCCAAUCGUGGGGGAUAACGUAGCGAAAGUUACGCUAAUACCGCAUAAGCCCUGAGGGGGAAAGCAGGGGGAUCGCAAGACCUUGCGCGAAUGGAGCGGCCGAUGUCAGAUUAGCUAGUUGGUGGGGUAAAGGCCUACCAAGGCGACGAUCUGUAGCGGGUCUGAGAGGAUGAUCCGCCACACUGGGACUGAGACACGGCCCAGACUCCUACGGGAGGCAGCAGUGGGGAAUUUUGGACAAUGGGCGCAAGCCUGAUCCAGCCAUGCCGCGUGCGGGACGAAGGCCUUCGGGUUGUAAACCGCUUUCAGCCGGAAAGAAAUCGCCAAGGCUAAUAUCCUUGGUGGAUGACGGUACCGGAAGAAGAAGCACCGGCUAACUACGUG
rnacentral:rRNA from 1 species